rnacentral:rRNA from 1 species
AUUGAACGCUGGCGGCAGGCCUAACACAUGCAAGUCGAACGAGUGGCGGACUGGUGAGUAAUGUCUGGGAAACUGCCUGAUGGAGGGGGAUAACUCCUGGAAACGGUAGCUCAUCCCGCCUACCAUCGGAUGUGCCCCGAUGGGAUUAGCUAGUAGGUGGGGUAAAGGCUCACCUAGGCGACGAUCCCUAGCUGGUCGGAGAGGAUGACCGGCCACACAGGAACUGAGACACGUGCCAGACUCCUACGGGAGGCAGCAGUGGGGAAUAUUGCACAAUGGGCGAAAGGCUGAUGCAGCCAUGCCGCGUGUAUGAAGAAGGCCUUCGGGUUGUAAAGUACUUUCAGCGGGGAGGCGUUACCCGCAGAAGAAGAACCGGCUAACUCCGUGCCAGCAGCCGCGGUAAUAC